GGCUGUGUGUUCCAGAAGUCUGAUACCAUGGACCGCAUCACCUUGGCUUCCUGGCUGUCUGGUUAGUGAUUUGAGCAAUGAGAGGCAGCAGCUAGAAAUGAAAGAGUAGAAGAAGAGAGUGUCUCCUGACACUGUGUGCAUGGUCUCCACUCAGCCUCAGAUUCCUGUAAGUCAGCUGCAUCCAGAUUUCCACCGGCUUCCCCGUCCCGAGAAGGUUACAUUUGGCCGCCACUAAGAUCUGAGAAAAACCUCUUCAGAGGAAUUUUGGCCAAAUCUUCUCUCCCUGUUCUACAGCCACUUUCCUUCUGAAUUUCUUACUUUCCCAGGGCCUGAUUGGUUCAGUACCAAGUGAAGUCAUAGUUACUAUGGUGACUCACAAUUGCCUUCAGAACCUAGUGCAGAUUCAAACACUGGCCACCAUCCCUGGCUUCCUUCUGGUUCACGCCUGAAUAAGGUCUCUCUUCUGUGCUGUCUUCCUGAAGCCAUCUGUGGAGUCAAGCAGUCAUGGCUCAGGCACACUCUGAAGCUGGUCCCAGCACAUCUGCACGGAGCAUCAGGAGAAAGGCGGACGAAUACGUGAGACCCAGCCUGGCCUCUAAAUCUGUGCUGAGUGUCUUACUCAGUAGACAGCUUGGGAAUCAUAGAAACGAUGUGGAUCUGACAGAGUGGCUGUGGACACUGACACAAACCACACCAGGGUGGACCUGGCCUUUGCCAACACGCCAUACAAUCAACCCACCUUUGCACCCUGGGGAGGAUAGAAAAUCCAAGAAAAUGGUGUGGAUCAAUAAAUCCUUCCCCUGAUGCAACCAUUA